rnacentral:lncRNA from 1 species
GGAGCACAACGUCGAAAGCAGCCGUUGGGAGCCCAGGAGGCGGGGCGCCUGUGGGAGCCGUGGAGGGAACUUUCCCAGUCCCCGAGGCGGAUCCGGUGUUGCAUCCUUGGAGCGAGCUGAGAGCUCGAGUACAGAACCUGCUAAGGCCAUCAAACCUAUUGAUCGGAAGUCAGUCCAUCAGAUUUGCUCUGGGCCGGUGGUACCGAGUCUAAGCACUGCGGUGAAGGAGUUAGUAGAAAACAGUCUGGAUGCUGGUGCCACUAAUAUUGUGCUGGGAUUACAGGCAUGAACCACCGCGCCUGGCCCCCGUUCUCCUUACUGGAUCUAAAGCUUAAGGACUAUGGAGUGGAUCUCAUUGAAGUUUCAGGCAAUGGAUGUGGGGUAGAAGAAGAAAACUUCGAAGGCUUAACUCUGAAACAUCACACAUCUAAGAUUCAAGAGUUUGCCGACCUACCUCAGGUUGAAACUUUUGGCUUUCGGGGGGAAGCUCUGAGCUCACUUUGUGCACUGAGUGAUGUCACCAUUUCUACCUGCCAUGUAUCGGCGAAGGUUGGGACUCGACUGGUGUUUGAUCACUAUGGGAAAAUCAUCCAGAAAACCCCCUACCCCCACCCCAGAGGGAUGACAGUCAGUGUGAAGCAGUUAUUUUCUACGCUACCUGUGCACCAUAAAGAAUUUCAAAGGAAUAUUAAGAAGAAACGUGCCUGCUUCCCCUUCGCCUUCUGCCGUGAUUGUCAGUUUCCUGAGGCCUCCCCAGCCAUGCUUCCUGUACAGCCUGCAGAACUGACUCCUAGAAGUACCCCACCCCACCCCUGCUCCUUGGAGGACAACGUGAUCACUGUAUUCAGCUCUGUCAAGAAUGGUCCAGGUUCUUCUAGAUGAUCUGCACAAAUGGCUCCUCUCCUCCUUCCUGAUGUCUGCCAUUAGCACUGGAAUAAAGUUCCUGCUGAAAAUCCACA